rnacentral:lncRNA from 1 species
ACUACAGCUGAAGGUCUUCCCACAUUUAAUACAUUCGUAAGGUUUCUCUCCAGUAUGAAUUCUGUGAUGUUGAAGCAGGGAUGACCUAUGACUAAAGGCUUUCCCACAUAUAUGGCAUUCAUUAGAUAGAAAUCACAUUUCAAUCUAAUGUGAUUUCUCAAAUGCAUAUUCAGUGAUUCAAGCUGGUUGAAGGAUUUCCUGCAUUUCUGACAUUCAAAGGGUUUUUCUUCAGUAUGAAUACUCUGAUGCUGAACAAGAAAUGAGAGGCUACUAAAGACUUUCAGACAUUUGUUGCAUUCAUAUUGUUUCUCCAUAGUGUGAAUUCUUUGAUGUGGAGUAAGGUGUGAGCUACAGCAGAAAGCUUUCUCACAUUCUCUACAUUCAUAAGGCUUCUCUCCAGUAUGGAUUUUCUGAUGGUGAAUGAGAGACGACGUAUGAAUGAAGGCCUUUCCACAUAUACGACACUCAUAGAGUUUUUCUUGCGUAUGAAUUCUUAGAUGUUCAAUAAGAUGGGACACACGCCUAAAAGACUUUCCACAGUUCAUACAUUCAUAUGGUUUCUCUCCAGUGUGAGUGCUCUGAUGGUUAGUAAGUGAUGAGCCAUGGCUAAAGGCCUUCCCACAUUCAAUACAUUUGUAAGGUUUCUCUCCACUAUGGCUUAUCUGAUGUCGUGUAAGGGAUGAGCCGUGGCUAAAAGUCUUCCCACAUUCACGACAUUCACAGGG